rnacentral:rRNA from 1 species
GUGUCAGCCGCCGCGGUAAGACGAACCGUGCGAACGUUGUUCGGAAUCACUGGGCUUAAAGGGCGCGUAGGCGGGCUUGCAAGUCAGGGGUGAAAGCCCACGGCUCAACCGUGGAAGUGCCUUUGAUACUGUGAGUCUGGAGGGAGGUAGGGGCGUGCGGAACUUCCGGUGGAGCGGUGAAAUGCGUAGAUAUCGGAAGGAACACCGGUGGCGAAAGCGGCGCGCUGGACCUCUACUGACGCUGAGGCGCGAAAGCCAGGGGAGCAAACGGGAUUAGAAACCCUAGUAGUCC